GACGUAGGGAGCGAGCGUUGUCCGGAAUUACUGGGCGUAAAGAGCUCGUAGGCGGGACCGUAAGUCCGAGAGGAAAUCUCAAGGCUCAACUUUGGGGCUUUCUUGGAUACCGCGGUUCUUGAGGAUGAGAGAGGUAAGCAGAAUUCCCGGUGUAGCGGUGAAAUGCGUAGAUAUCGGGAGGAAUACCAGUGGCGAAGGCGGCUUACUGGCUCAUUCCUGACGCUGAGGAGCGAAAGCGUGGGGAGCAAACGGG
rnacentral:rRNA from 1 species